rnacentral:rRNA from 1 species
AUUGAACGCUGGCGGCAGGCUUAACACAUGCAAGUCGAACGAUGACUAACUAGCUUGCUAGUUAUGAUUAGUGGCGGACGGGUGAGUAACAUUUAGGAAUCUGCCUAGUAGUGGGGGAUAGCUCGGGGAAACUCGAAUUAAUACCGCAUACGACCUACGGGUGAAAGGGGGCGCAAGCUCUUGCUAUUAGAUGAGCCUAAAUCAGAUUAGCUAGUUGGUGGGGUAAAGGCCUACCAAGGCGACGAUCUGUAACUGGUCUGAGAGGAUGAUCAGUCACACCGGAACUGAGACACGGUCCGGACUCCUACGGGAGGCAGCAGUGGGGAAUAUUGGACAAUGGGGGCAACCCUGAUCCAGCCAUGCCGCGUGUGUGAAGAAGGCCUUUUGGUUGUAAAGCACUUUAAGCAGGGAGGAGAGGCUAAUGGUUAAUACCCAUUAGAUUAGACGUUACCUGCAGAAUAAGCACCGGCUAACUCUGUGCCAGCAGCCGCGGUAAUACAGAGAGUGCGAGCGUUAAUCGGAAUUACUGGGCGUAAAGCGAGUGUAGGUGGCUCAUUAAGUCACAUGUGAAAUCCCCGGGCUUAACCUGGGAACUGCAUGUGAUACUGGUGGUGCUAGAAUAUGUGAGAGGGAAGUAGAAUUCCAGGUGUAGCGGUGAAAUGCGUAGAGAUCUGGAGGAAUACCGAUGGCGAAGACAGCUUCCUGGCAUAAUAUUGACACUGAGAUUCGAAAGCGUGGGUAGCAAACAGGAUUAGAUACCCUGGUAGUCCACGCCGUAAACGAUGUCUACUAGCCGUUGGGGUCCUUGAGACUUUAGUGGCGCAGUUAACGCGAUAAGUAGACCGCCUGGGGAGUACGGCCGCAAGGUUAAAACUCAAAUGAAUUGACGGGGGCCCGCACAAGCGGUGGAGCAUGUGGUUUAAUUCGAUGCAACGCGAAGAACCUUACCUGGUCUUGACAUAGUGAGAAUCCUGCAGAGAUGCGGGAGUGCCUUCGGGAAUUCACAUACAGGUGCUGCAUGGCUGUCGUCAGCUCGUGUCGUGAGAUGUUGGGUUAAGUCCCGCAACGAGCGCAACCCUUUUCCUUAUUUGCCAGCGGGUUAAGCCGGGAACUUUAAGGAUACUGCCAGUGACAAACUGGAGGAAGGCGGGGACGACGUCAAGUCAUCAUGGCCCUUACGACCAGGGCUACACACGUGCUACAAUGGUAGGUACAGAGGGUUGCUACACCGCGAUGUGAUGCUAAUCUCAAAAAGCCUAUCGUAGUCCGGAUUGGAGUCUGCAACUCGACUCCAUGAAGUCGGAAUCGCUAGUGAUCGCAGAUCAGAAUGCUGCGGUGAAUACGUUCCCGGGCCU